UACAGAGGCCACGAGCGUUAGGCGGAAUCACUGGGCUUAAAGCGUGUGUAGGUGGAUGACUAAGUACCUUGUGAAAUCCCACGGCUCAACCGUGGAACUGCUUGGUAUACUGGUUGUCUUGAGGCACUCAGGGGCGAGCGGAACAGAUGGUGGAGCGGUGAAAUGCGUAGAUAUCAUCUGGAACGCCAAUGGUGAAGACAGCUCGCUGGGGGUGUACUGACACUGAGACACGAAAGCCAGGGGUGCAAACGGG
rnacentral:rRNA from 1 species